UACGGAGGGUGCGAGCGUUGUCCGGAAUCACUGGGCGUAAAGGGCGCGUAGGCGGCGCGGGCAGUCAACGGUGAAAGCUUGGGGCUCAACCCCGAGUCGGCCGUCGAUACUCCCGUGCUGGAGCACUGUAGAGGCAGGUGGAAUUCCGGGUGUAGCGGUGGAAUGCGUAGAGAUCCGGAAGAACACCGGUGGCGAAGGCGGCCUGCUGGGCAGUAGCUGACGCUGAUGCGCGACAGCGUGGGGAGCGAACAGG
rnacentral:rRNA from 1 species